rnacentral:rRNA from 1 species
AUUGAACGCUGGCGGCAGGCCUAACACAUGCAAGUCGAACGAGUGGCGGACGGGUGAGGAAUGUCUGGGAAACUGCCCGAUGGAGGGGGAUAACUACUGGAAACGGUAGCUAAUACCGCAUACCAUCGGAUGUGCCCAGAUGGGAUUAGCUAGUAGGUGGGGCAACGGCUGACAUAGGCGACGAUCACUAGCUGGGCUGAGAGGAUGACCAGCCACACUGUAACUGAGACACGGUCCAGACGCCUACGGGCGGCAGCAGUGGGGAAGAUUGCACAAUGGGCGCAAGCCUGAUGCAGCCAUGCCGCGUGUAUGAAGAAGGCCUUCGGGUUGUAAAGUACGUUCAGCGAGGAGGCGUUACUCGCAGAAGAAGCACCGGCUAACUCCGUGCCAGCAGCCGCGGUAAUUC